GCCAGAGCCAUAUCUCCCUACAGCUCUCACCUGGUUUUCCACUGAAGCUAAGCAGGGUUAAGCCUGAUCAGUACCUGGAUGGGAGACCUCUCCAGAAAAACUAAGGUUGCUGCUGGAA
rnacentral:rRNA from 1 species